UACGUAGGGUGCGAGCGUUGUCCGGAAUUACUGGGCGUAAAGAGCUCGUAGGUGGUUUGUCGCGUUGUCCGUGAAAACUCACAACUCAAUUGUGGGCGUGCGGGCGAUACGGGCAGACUGGAGUACUGCAGGGGAGACUGGAAUUCCUGGUGUAGCGGUGGAAUGCGCAGAUAUCAGGAGGAACACCGGUGGCGAAGGCGGGUCUCUGGGCAGUAACUGACGCUGAGGCGCGAAAGCCGGGGGAGCGAACGGG
rnacentral:rRNA from 1 species